CACCAGACACUACCGACUGAACUUCCAGGUCUUCGCUCAAAGGAUGUAUACUUGAUACGGAUAUUCCUGCCUCAACAAGGCUACUAACGAUCGAGGUCGGGGCUCGGAAAUGAUGGACUCGGCAGAUUAAUUUACAAUCACUGCCACUAUUUAGAAUGUCCGUUGUGUUCUGCAGAAAACAUUGGGAAACAGGGCUAUUCCGCCUGGGUCGGCUCAUUUGAAGCUAAAAAAGUCAAUGGACAUCCUCCACAAGGGACCCAGUUGUUUCCUUUAGUUCCCAGUACCGACACCCAGUUGCUGCUUGGGUAGUCAACCUUACCACCUGCUCACCGGCACCCUGACCACAUAGCUGCCCAUGUCUGCCCUCCUCUGCUAGGCCAACCCAGCCCACACAGUCUUCAUGAGGAUCACGACCCUGCCAGACUACACCAGAUAGAGUUUCCCCAGAACGCCCGAGGGAGGAUGGACCGGCUGAUCUUCUCCCUGUUGGUGCUGGCCGUCUCCACCAGGGGGCAGUUGUGCCCCAAGCGCUGCAUGUGCCAGAACCUGUCCCCCUCGCUGGCCAUCCUCUGUGCCAAGACGGGCCUACUCUUCGUGCCCACCGUCAUCGACCGGCGCACCGUGGAGCUGCGUCUCACUGAGAACUUUAUCACAGCCAUAAGGAGGCGGGACUUUGCCAACAUGACUAGUUUGAUCCAUCUGACGUUGUCCCGCAACACCAUAAGCCAGAUCAUGCCUUACACCUUCGAGGACCUCAAGCGACUGCGAGCGCUGCACCUGGACAGCAACCGGCUGAGUGUGAUCAGGGAUGACCACUUUCGGGGGCUCACCAACCUUAGGCACCUGAUCUUGGCCAACAACCAGCUCCACGAUAUCUCUCCCCACGCCUUUGACGACUUCACAGGAACCCUGGAAGACCUGGACCUGUCCUACAACAACCUGGUGGACAUCCCCUGGGAGACGAUAGGUCGUCUAACCAACGUCAACACCCUUAACAUGGACCAUAACCUUAUAGAGCACGUGCCCCAAGGGAUCUUCACCAACCUGCACAAGCUGGCGCGUCUAGACAUGACUUCCAACAAGCUGAAGAAGAUCCCUCCGGAUCCACUUUUUCUGCGCAUCCCCGUCUACGCGAAAGCCAAAGGAUCCCCUCAGUCGUCAUUGGUGAUGAGUUUUGGUGGGAACCCGCUCCACUGUAACUGUGAGCUGCUGUGGCUGAGGAGGCUGACCAGGGAAGAUGACCUGGAGACUUGUGCCUCUCCUCCAGACCUCACAGCCAAGUACUUCUGGACCAUCCCAGAGGAGGAGUUCAUCUGUGACCCUCCGGUCAUGACCAGGAAGUCUGCCAAGACCUUCACCAUGGAGGGCCAGCCAACCAGUCUGAAGUGCAAGGCCAACGGAGACCCGGACCCAGAGAUUCACUGGAUUUCCCCCGAGGGCCGUCUGAUCUCCAACACAUCAAGGACUGUCACCUUCAGCAAUGGCAGCCUGGACAUCAACAUCACCUCCAUGAAGGACUCUGGAACUUUCACCUGCAUUGCCUCCAACGCGGCGGGGGAGUCCACGGGCCAGGUGGAACUGGUGGUCAACCUCCUCCCCCACCUGGCCAACAGCACCAACCGGCUACGGGAGCCCGACCCUGGCCCUUCAGACAUCCUCACUUCGGCCAAGUCCACCACGGCCACAGGCAACGACACACGGAGGAACCAGGAGGGAAGGGUGAUGAUGGCGGAGCUGACAGCUAGCUCAGUGCUGAUCAAAUGGCCAUAUCAGAACCACGUCCCUGGGAUUAAGAUGUACCAGGUCCAGUACAACAGUUCCCUGGAUGACACGCUCAUCUACAGAAUGAUCCCGUCCACCAGUCAGGACUUCCUGGUGCGUGACCUGGUGUCAGGGCGCGAGUACGACCUGUGUGUCCUGGCGGUGUACGACGACGGCAUCACCUCGUUGACGGCCACGCGGCAGGUGGGCUGCGUCCAGUUCAUCACGGAGACCGAGUACAGCCAGUGCCAGGCCCUCCACAGCCAGUUCCUGGGCGGCACCAUGAUCAUCAUUAUCGGUGGCAUCAUCGUGGCCUCCGUGCUCGUCUUCAUCAUCAUCCUCAUGAUCCGCUACAAGGUCUACAGCCACCAGGGCAUGGACACAGGCAAGGUGGGAACCCUGGCCAACAUCCGUGCCCAGACCAACGGAGGACAGGCUGGGGGACAGGUGUCCCACUCUGGGUCUAAAGUUACAGAGAGUCAGGAGGAGCAGCAGGAUCAUGCCUUUGCUGGGGUGGGAGUGGGACCAGGGACAGGGUUAGGGGGGUGUGUGAGUAGAGUGGCAUCGCCUAAUGCCACCCUAAAGAACUCUAACACCAUGGCGCUGGUGGUUGACUGUGAGAAAGCGGUGCAGAUCUCAGACAUGACUGCUGAGGACCUGCUGUCGCCAAGUAAGAGGCGUCACUCCAGGACUGCCUUUGAGAUGAAGAGGAGAGCCUCCCUCACACCCAGAGAGGCCACCAUCGUCGAUGUGGGGGGAAAAUAUUCCCAGGAUUCCAGGAAUCAAGGAGAUUGGAUUAUAAAUCAGGAACAUUUUUAGGACUCCUGCCAGACAUCUUCCUUGCGUCCUCCAUAGUUCACACUGUAUUUACAGACCCCCCAUGAAAACACCCCAAGAUGGAUUUAAUAAGGACUCAAUUCACCAUCAUAAUCUAAUGGAUUGGAGCUAGAAGAGCCAAUGGCCUCGCCAGUGGCUUUUGAAACAUAUUGCCUUGUAAUCCCUCUGUGGCUCAGACUGUGUGUGUCUGCUGUUCCUGGCACUGUACUUGGGACCAGGACUUGCCAAUACCUGGACCUGUUCCUGGACCUGCUCAUAAUGUACCUUACUUUACCUGACUGUCUUCAGACUCAGGAUGGAGACCCAGCCAAAGGUAUGUGCUGUGUUUCGUCCAUCCAGACUCCGAGGACCCAAGUACAUCUAGGAGGAAGAACUCCAACCAGAAGGGACUAAGCAAA